rnacentral:rRNA from 1 species
UACGUAGGGUGCGAGCGUUGUCCGGAUUUAUUGGGCGUAAAGAGCUCGUAGGCGGUUUGUCGCGUCGGCCGUGAAAUCUCCACGCUUAACGUGGAGCGUGCGGUCGAUACGGGCAGACUUGAGUUCGGUAGGGGAGACUGGAAUUCCAGGUGUAGCGGUGAAAUGCGUAGAUAUCUGGAGGAACACCGGUGGCGAAGGCGGCAUCCUGGACCGGUAUUGACGCUGAGGAGCGAAAGCGUGGGGAGCGAACAGG